CUCUACGGACACAUUUCAGCCGCCGCAAUCACAAUGGAUUCCUCAAGAAUUAGUUUACGCAAGAAGAAGAAGAUCAAACCCAAAUCUGAUUUAGCUUUGUUGAUUGAAUCAUAGCAUGAUGAUAUCUCCUCUCAAUACUAAAGCUUUACCUAGCUACCUUGGCUCACAUUGAUGGGUCAUUCAUGAUUUAUUUCUGAGUCCGGUCAUGUCAUUUGUUUCUGGAAAAUGUUGAUGGAGGGUUCCCGUUAAUUUCCUUCAGUUCCGGUUCCAGUUCCAGUGAUGAGAUAACGAUGGAUGAAUUACGAUCUAUUUACAAGAUAGACAGAGACAUGUACAGAAAACUUGCAGUGAACAUGCACAAGGAACCUUUAGUCUGUAUGGCUGUGAUGGCUCUCUGGCUCUUCAUGGAAGAGCUUGGAUAUCCCAAUGUCAUCCCUAUGUUACCGUCAUAUCCGAGCGAUAUCAUUAAUUCAGCCUUCGAAGAAGAGAUAUUGUUAGUAUAUCAUACAGUCACCAGGACUCCACCUCCUUCUUCAUUAAUUGAGUUGCCCAUAACGUUAAGAUUGAUACACGCUGUCGGAUCUCGGAACUAUAUAUACCUAUGAUUAAUCUGUUUCACGAUGGAACAAUUCCGUAUAUCGGAAUCAAGAACAAAGUAAAAGAUCUCUCCUGUACUUUGAAGAUAUUUUCAGAGAAGCAUUGUCAGGGAACAACGUAUAUAGUCAGAGAUUAUUUGAUGAAAUUGGGGGCUCUUCUUCCUUGCGUAUAGUGGAGGAACCACAGGUAGUACGAGUUAGUACUCCACCGAGUGCACGAACUAUGUUCUCUACAGGAUUUCCAAUUACUGAAGAUCAAUUGCGACCAGAAAUCAGGAUUUCCAUCGGUUAGACAAAAAUGCAUCAUUGCGUAGUUUUGGGAUUGGCAUUUUUUUCUUUUAGAACGUAACAGCUCACUUUGAUGCCAUAGUGGUUUCCUAUUGUUGAAUUGUUUUCUACUAGUGCACAAUUCCUAAACAACAGAUAAAGCAACUGACUUGCUCACUUUGAUGCCAUAGUGGUUUCCUAUUGUUGAUGCCUAGGAGUACUUCUGUUAUUAUUAUUAUUUUUCCCAUGUGAAAUUUACAGUAUUAUAAAACACAAACGCCAAAGACUGGUGAAAAGAAGAUUGAUUUGUUAUCCACAUUUUGUUGAAAUAAACCAUCGCUCCUAUGCUUUUAUGCUCU